GACGAACGCUGGCGGCGUGCCUAAUACAUGCAAGUCGAGCGCAGGAAACCGUCUGAACCCUUCGGGGGGACAACGGCGGAAUGAGCGGCGGACGGGUGAGUAACACGUAAAGAACCUGCCCACGGGUCUGGGAUAACCACGAGAAAUCGGGGCUAAUACCGGACGGGUCAUCGGACCGCAUGGUCCGAGGAUGAAAGGCGCUCCGGCGCCGCCCGUGGAUGGCUUUGCGGUGCAUUAGCUAGUUGGUGGGGUAACGGCCCACCAAGGCGACGAUGCAUAGCCGACCUGAGAGGGUGAUCGGCCACACUGGGACUGAGACACGGCCCAGACUCCUACGGGAGGCAGCAGUAGGGAAUCUUCCACAAUGGACGAAAGUCUGAUGGAGCAACGCCGCGUGAACGAUGAAGGCUUUCGGGUCGUAAAGUUCUGUUGUAAGGGAAGAACAAGUGCCGCAGGCAAUGGCGGCACCUUGACGGUACCUUGCGAGAAAGCCACGGCUAACUACGUGCCAGCCGCCGCCGUAA
rnacentral:rRNA from 1 species